rnacentral:rRNA from 1 species
AUAACGAGCGCAACCCUAUCAUAGUUGCCAUCAGGUCAAGCUGGGGACGUCUAAUGAAAACUGCCUACGCAAGUAGUGAGGAAGGUGGGGAUGACGUCAAGUCAUCAUGGCCCUUAUGUCCAGGGCGACACACGUGCUACAAUGGCCGGCACAACGGGAAGCGAAGGGGCGACCCUGAGCGGAUCCCCAUAAAAAGCCGGUCCCAGUUCGGAUUGCAGUCUGCAACUCGCCCUCAUGAAGCUGGAAUCCGUAGUAAUCGCGUUUCAACAGAACGCGGUGAAUACGUCCCUGCUCCUU